GGUAAGCAAAAACAUUUGCAAUAUUCUAUGCAAACUGUACAUGUCUUCAUGUUAUUAACUGUCACUGAAUAUUUAUAGUGCAAAAGUUAUCCACUACUGUACAAUAUUACAAAUACAUGUUAUUCAUUUAUUUUCCUCUCUCUCUCUCUCUCUCUCUCUCUCUCUCUCUCUCUCUCUCUCUCUCUCAAACAUUUCCAUCACGACAAUGUAAAUUUAUUAACUGUAUGAAAACUUUGUUUUUUCUUUUAGAGUUUUAAAUGCAUAAAUCAUAGUCUUUCUAUAAGAAAAACUUUGCUAUUACACUCAUUCACCUGCCUCGUAGAAGUCUAGAUAAUUAAAAAAUUACAUGAGCCAUGUUUGUCAUAAAUUUAAAUUUCCUGACAUGGUUUGAUUUUUUGCUUUUCUUAAUGCCAAAGCAUCAUUGUUUGAGGUCUGAGAUUUAAUGCAACACAAAAAACAUAAAACUGAUUUAAUAAAUUUUCAAAUGUGUAACAUAAACCAUAUAUUGACAUUAAUUAUACAUAUACAGAGGAGAAACAUGUAAGAGACAGAAAGUAACUCUGAAGGUACAUACACAGUUAAAGAUUUGUCAACUGAAUUCUUAAAAUUUAUACUGAGAGAAUAACGUUCUUUACAAAAUAUUUUACAUUUCUUCAAUACUUUAGUUACAUUUACAAUAAACACACUCUUUAUGUAGCCUUCUUAAAUAAUUCAUAUCAGUAAUUGUAUAUUUUAGGCUAAAACAAAAACAUGAAGUACACAAUAGUUAAAACAAGUCUCUCUACAUUUUCAGGUGUAGAAAGUGACUGCUGACGUCUGUAUACAUAUUAUUCAUUUAUAUCUUUGAUAUAAAAUGGAUAACACUGCAGUUUACUUAGAAAUAAAGUUCCACAUAUAGGUAUGCCACAUUUUGCUGAACCAUUGUUAUUACCAAUGAAACAGUUUCUUCCAAGGGAGUUUUCGGACAAAAUCACUUAUCUGAUGUAGGCUGUUAUCGACUGAAUUUUCUGUAAAUAUGAAUACAGAGCAAUAUUAAAUAUGCUGUUGAAGUGGAAUAAGAACAAAAAUGAGUGAAGUAUGAUGACUGAAGUUGUGAUGUCAGUGCUCAGUAUUGAUGAAACACAGGAAUGCAGCAACAAGUAUAAACCAAUUUUCAAAGAGGGUGGGAACUGUUAAAGCUUUCAAGUGCUUUAAAAUACAUAGCUAUGAAAAUAUUUAUAAUAUAUGUGUAACUACAGUCUGAUAAUGAAUAAUAUCAGCUUUUUUUAUAAAAUUAUUUUAUAUGAAAUAUAACAAUCAUCGAAAUAUUUAGCUUUAACAAGACAUUCAGCACUUUACUGUCAGCAACUUAUACUUUUAUUUCUUUAUGACUUCAUAUCCAUUAACAGUUGCCCAGCAGUCAGGAAUAAUUUUUUCCACUAAUAUCCCUUACAUUUGUAAUACAAUAUCGUCCCCACCCUGCAAAAUAUUUUUUUUAUGUAUGGCUUUGCUUCUGAAAUAAUAUAUCACAAUAAUUUUAUAAAAAUGUAUAUUUCAUCAGCAUUACCAUCUUCUUCAAUAUAUAUGUCAUAAGGCAAGUUAUAUUUUUACAUUUGUGUUUUAACUGUUAUAGAAUAACAACCUUCAUCUUAAUCUUCUGUAAUUUUAACAAGCUACAUAUUCUAAUUAAAUUCGAACAGUAACAUUUAACAAUGAUCACGAAUAAAUAAGUUGGCUGGAUAGUUUAUAUUAAGCUCUACACAUUUGUCUCUGGUAUAAAAUUUUACAGCAUUUUAACAAACACAGAAAUUACAUUUCAUUUCACAGUAAGGAAAACGUAUUUUUCUCAAAAGUAGAAUAAACUUUUCAUUUGUGAUUUCUGUGAAAACAAUUGUAUCAGUUAAUAAUGAUGAUCUGUUUUUAAUUUACAAGUAAUUUUGUAAUUUUUUAAAUGUGAACUAUAAGGUCCUUCAAAUCAACAUAACACUGUUCAAAUAAUGUGUCUUUCUGUUCUUGAAAUGAAAUUUGUGAUUUCUGUUCUUACAAUUUGCUCUUUUUCAUGAGCUGGAACUCAGGGAUCUUAGUAUCAGCAGAGAAAUGGCAAAUACCAUGAUACAGUGUAGUAUCCCAACUCCAACAAAGCUUCAGAAGUAUGCAUAAUUACGUGCAUUUUGUACCUAUGACUCUAAUCAAUGAUCGAACACCUAUUUAUUAACUUACAAACCACCCAUACAUUGUUCUUUUUCAGUUAUGUCUGUUGUCCACAGUCUGUUGCAUGAGAGUUUAAUGUUGCUUUUAUUACAAAUAACUUCAGAAGAAGAUGAAUCAUCAAA